GGGGAGUUGUUAAUUUUUUGUGGAACAUAUUGUAUUGUUUUCACUCAAGUUGUUGUAAUUCACUUUUAUCCUAGAUCGUGCAGCUCCAUAGGUGUUUUGAGUGUUUUGUAGUGAGAAAUCAUGUAAAUCGACAAACCAAGACAUCACGUGAAGGAUCAAGGAUAUGAAAUUGAAGACCAAUGGUUCUUAGAAGGUUGUUGAAGACAAUUCAAAGUGAAGACAAUUCAUUUCAAG
rnacentral:lncRNA from 1 species